rnacentral:rRNA from 1 species
GCCUAAUACAUGCAAGUAGAACGCUGAAGGAGGAGCUUGCUUCUCCGGAUGAGUUGCGAACGGGUGAGUAACGCGUAGGUAACCUGCCUGGUAGCGGGGGAUAACUAUUGGAAACGAUAGCUAAUACCGCAUAAGAGUAGAUGUUGCAUGACAUUUGCUUAAAAGGUGCAAUUGCAUCACUACCAGAUGGACCCGCGUUGUAUUAGCUAGUUGGUGGGGUAACGGCUCACCAAGGCGACGAUACAUAGCCGACCUGAGAGGGUGAUCGGCCACACUGGGACUGAGACACGGCCCAGACUCCUACGGGAGGCAGCAGUAGGGAAUCUUCGGCAAUGGACGGAAGUCUGACCGAGCAACGCCGCGUGAGUGAAGAAGGUUUUCGGGUCGUAAAGCUCUGUUGUAAGAGAAGAACGAGUGUGAGAGUGGAAAGUUCACACUGUGACGGUAUCUUACCAGAAAGGGACGGCUAACUACGUGCCAGCAGCCGCGGUAAUACGUAGGUCCCGAGCGUUGUCCGGAUUUAUUGGGCGUAAAGCGAGCGCAGGCGGUUAGAUAAGUCUGAAGUUAAAGGCUGUGGCUUAACCAUAGUACGCUUUGGAAACUGUUUAACUUGAGUGCAAGAGGGGAGAGUGGAAUUCCAUGUGUAGCGGUGAAAUGCGUAGAUAUAUGGAGGAACACCGGUGGCGAAAGCGGCUCUCUGGCUUGUAACUGACGCUGGGG